rnacentral:pre_miRNA from 1 species
UAGGCCGAUGAGGUAGUUUAUAAAGCUGCGAGAGUGUCUCGAAUUCGCAGAUUUUAAGCUAUCUCGACUGCCUU